rnacentral:rRNA from 1 species
CACGGGUGAGUAACACGUAUGCAACCUACCUGUAAGAGGGGAAUAACCCGGAGAAAUUCGGACUAACACCGCAUAAUACCAAUUAACUGCAUGGUUGAUUGGUUAAAUAUUUAUAGCUUACAGAUGGGCAUGCGUAUGAUUAGAUAGUUGGUGAGGUAACGGCUCACCAAGUCAACGAUCAUUAGGGGUUCUGAGAGGAAGGUCCCCCACACUGGUACUGAGAUACGGACCAG